CACCAAGAAGAGGAAGUCGACGACCUUGGAGUCAACGUUGCACUGUCCAUGCUGAAAUUCUACAAAAGAGAGAUAUCACCGUUACUACCUUCAAGUUGCCGUUAUGUGCCAACAUGCAGCGAGUACUCUAUGCAGGCGUACAAAAGGUACGGUGUCGCGAAGGGUACAAUCUUGACAGCAUGGCGUCUGUGCCGUUGUAAUCCUCUUGGUGGACAGGGAUAUGAUCCUCCAAGGUGGUUUGGUGAGGAAGAGUUACCUGAGGACUAGUAAUGGCUGGUAAUUACUGGAGAAGCACAUGUGCCCAAUCGUGCUGUUGCAUACAGUUGUAUUACGUUUUAAGUAAAUAACUCUGUACAACAACUAAAAGAAGAGAAAAACAGUGGUGUUAGAUCCCUGCCAUCUGUUCUCCAACCAUCAUGUUCAAUGUGCCUGUGUUGAUGUACUUA